rnacentral:pre_miRNA from 1 species
UAUGCUAGACCAAAGAGUAAAUCAUUUAUUUCUAUUAAAAAUUUCAUCUAUUUAUACUAUUAAAACUUGGCAUGGUUGACAAAAUAUGUACCUCUUGUUGACUUAUAAAAAUCAGUUUUUAACAAUAGAAAUGAAUAUAUUUUAUAAUAGAAUGACUGGUUUACUCUUUGAUCUAACAU